UUUUUUUGAGAAUUUGAUCCUGGUUCAGGAUGAACGCUGGCGGUGUGCCUUAGGCAUGCAAGUCGAGCGGGGUGUGCUUUGCACACAGGAUGACAGGAAACAGGAAUUAGUGAAUAGUCUUUGAUUGUUCAUUGUUCACUGUAAUCUUGCUAUCUUGCGCGCAGAGCGCGCUCAGCGGCGAACGGGUGAGUAACGCGUAGGAAUCUACCCUUUGGAGGAACAUAGCUCGCCGAAAGGCGGGGUAAUUUUCCAUAGUCUCGUAAGAGUAAAGGACGUAACUGUCCGCCAAGGGAGGAGCCUGCGUCCUAUCAGCUUGUUGGUGGGGUAAUGGCCCACCAAGGCAAUGACGGGUAGCUGGACUGAGAGGUCGGUCAGCCACAAGGGAACUGAGACACGGUCCCUACACCUACGGGUGGCAGCAACUAGGAAUAUUCCACAAUGGACGAAAGUCUGAUGGAGCGACACCGCGUGGAGGAUGAAGGUCCUCGGAUUGUAAACUCCUUUUGUCCCGCAUAGUGCGGGAAGAAUAAACUUCUGCUAACUACGUGCCAGAAGCCUCGGUAAUACGUGGGAAGUAAGCGUUAUCCGGAUUUAUUGGGCGUAAAGCGUUUCGUAGGCGGUUUAUCACAUCUUGUUUUAAAGCCCUCGGCUCAACCGAGGAAAGGGACAAGAGAUGGAUAGGCUGGGGUUAGGUCGGGGAUGUUGGAAUUCAUGGUGGAGCAGUGAAAUGCGUUGAUAUCAUGAAGAACACCAAGGGCGAAGGCGAACAUCUAGACCUCAACCGACGCUGA
rnacentral:rRNA from 1 species